AACACUGGGUAACCUACCUAUAAGACUGGGAUAACUUCGGGAAACCGGAGCUAAUACCGGAUAAUAUUUCGAACCGCAUGGUUCGAUAGUGAAAGGUGGUUUUGCUAUCACUUAUAGAUGGACCCGCGCCGUAUUAGCUAGUUGGUAAGGUAACGGCUUACCAAGGCGACGAUACGUAGCCGACCUGAGAGGGUGAUCGGCCACACUGGAACUGAGACACGGUCCAGACUCCUACGGGAGGCAGCAGC
rnacentral:rRNA from 1 species